rnacentral:rRNA from 1 species
ACCCGCUGAACUUAAGCAUAUCAAUAAGCGGAGGAAAAGAAACCAACAGGGAUUGCUCUAGUAACGGCGAGUGAAGCAGCAAUAGCUCAAAUUUGAAAUCUGGCGUCUUCGGCGUCCGAGUUGUAAUUUGUAGAGGAUGCUUCUGAGUAACCACCGACCUAAGUUCCUUGGAACAGGACGUCAUAGAGGGUGAGAAUCCCGUAUGCGGUCGGAAAGGUGCUCUAUACGUAGCUCCUUCGACGAGUCGAGUUGUUUGGGAAUGCAGCUCUAAAUGGGAGGUAAAUUUCUUCUAAAGCUAAAUAUUGGCCAGAGACCGAUAGCGCACAAGUAGAGUGAUCGAAAGAUGAAAAGCACUUUGGAAAGAGAGUUAAAAAGCACGUGAAAUUGUUAAAAGGGAAGGGAUUGCAACCAGACUUGCUCGCGGUGUUCCGCCGGUCUUCUGACCGGUCUACUCGCCGCGUUGCAGGCCAGCAUCGUCUGGUGCCGCUGGAUAAGACUUGAGGAAUGUAGCUCCCUCGGGAGUGUUAUAGCCUCUUGUGAUGCAGCGAGCGCCGGGCGAGGUCCGCGCUCGGCUAGGAUGCUGCUAAACGUCCAUUGGGUGGAU